rnacentral:rRNA from 1 species
UACGUAGGGGGCAAGCGUUGUCCGGAUUUAUUGGGCGUAAAGAGCGUGUAGGCGGCCAGGUAGGUCUGGUGUGAAAACUCGAGGCUCAACCUCGAGAGGUCAUCGGAAACCAUCUGGCUAGAGUCCGGAAGAGGAGAGUGGAAUUCCCGGUGUAGCGGUGAAAUGCGCAGAUAUCGGGAAGAACACCUAUGGCGAAGGCAGCUCUCUGGGACGGUACUGACGCUGAGGUGCGAAAGCGUGGGGAGCAAACAGG